UGAGGCUUAACCUAGAUAGCCUUUAUGAUGUUGAGAUAUGUUCCUGUUAUCCCUAGUUUUUCUAGUGUUUUAACAUGAAAGGGUGCUGUAUUUUGUUAAAUGCUUUUUCUGCAUCUAUUGAGAUGAUGAUAUGAUUCUUAGAGUCUAUUGAUCUGUUGAAUUACAUUUAUUGAUUUCAGUAUGUUGAACCAACAUUGCUUCCCUGGGAUGAACCCCACUUGACCAUGGUGCAUGAUCUUUUUGAUAUGUUUUUGUUUUUGAUAUGUUUUUCUAUUAGAUUUGCCAGAAUUUUAUUGAGAAUUUUUGCAUCUACAUUCAUUAGAGAUAUUGGUCUGAAAUUUUCUUUCUUUGAUGUGUCUUUGCCUGGUUUUGGAAUCACGGUGAUAUUGGCCUCAUUGAAUGAGUUUGGAAGUGCUGCCUCUUUUUCUAUUUUCUGAAAUAAAUUGAAGAGUAUUGGUAUUAGUUCUUCUUUAAACUUCUUGUAGAACUCUGCUGUGUAUCUAUCCUGUCCUGGGCUUUUCUUGGUUGGUAGACUUCUGAUGGCAUCUUCUAUUUCAUCACUUGAUAUUGGUCUGUUUAAGUUGUGUAUAUCUUCCUGAUUCAAUCCAAGCAAAUCAUAUGAAUUAAGAAAUUUGUCAAUGCCUUCAAUAUCUUCUAUUUUGUUGGAGUAUAAGUUUUCAAAAUAAUUUCUAAUUAUCCUUUGUAUUUCUAUAGUGUCUGUUGUGAUAGUACCUUUUUCAUCACAUAUGCUGGUAAUUUGAGUUUUCUCUACCCUUCUCUUUGUUAGGGUAGCUAGGGGUCUGUCUGUUUUAUUUAUUUAUUGAAAGAACCAAGUUUUUGUUUUGUCAAUUUUUUCAAUUGUUUUAUUUUACUUCAAUUUCAUUGAUUUCAGCUCUAAUUUUAAUUAUUUC
rnacentral:lncRNA from 1 species